rnacentral:misc_RNA from 1 species
AAGUCGUAACAAGGUUUCCGUAGGUGAACCUGCGGAAGGAUCAUUGACAAAAUCUAUUUUAUAAAUCUUUGUGAAUUGAAAGUGUAACAACUUUCCAUAUAAACAUAUUUUAAAGCCUGAUUUCUUUGAAAAAAGCAAAAUUUAAAAACAACUUUUAACAAUGGAUCUCUUGGCUCUU